GCCAAACAGCUAGCUCAAUUACCCAAUAACUAAACAAUAUAAAUAAAACAAAAUAAGCCUAACACCAAAAAUUAAAUCAUUCUUUUACCUUAGUAUGGGCGACAGAAAAGGUUACACCUGGAGCAAUAGAAAAAGUACCGCAAGGGAAAGCUGAAAGAGAAAUGAAAUAACUUAUAUAAGCACCAAAAAGCAAAGAUUAAAUCUUGUACCUUUCGCAUCAUGAUUUAGCCAGUAUAUCCAAGCAAAGAGACCUUUAGUUUGAAACCCCGAAACCAAGUGAGCUACCCCGAGACAGCCUAUUAAGGGCCAACCCGUCUCUGUGGCAAAAGAGUGGGAAGAGCUCCGGGUAGAGGUGACAGACCUACCGAACUUGGUGAUAGCUGGUUGCCUAAGAAGUGAAUAGAAGUUCAGCCUCGUACUCCCUGAAUCAAAAGAUAUAAAAAGAUAUUAGAGGGAAAUAUAUGAGAGUUAGUUAAAGGGGGUACAGCCCCUUUAACAAAGGACACAACCUUUCCAGGAGGAUAAAGAUCAUAAUACAUAAGACAUCCUGUUCUAGUGGGCCUAAAGGCAGCCAUCUAAACAGAAAGCGUUAAAGCUCAGACAGAAAUAAGUUUAUUAUUCCGACAAGAAAUCUUACUCCCCUAAAUAUUAUUAGGCCAGCCCAUGCCCACAUGGGAGAGACUAUGCUAAAAUGAGUAACAAGAAGGCCAGCCCUUCUCCAAGCACAAGUGUAAGCCAAACCGGACCGACCAUUGGCAAUUAACGAACUCAACCCGAGAGAGUAAUGUGUAUUACAACAAAACCAGGAAGAACCCACAAUUAACCCAUCGUUACCCCCACACUGGCGUGCUAUUAAAGGAAAGACUAAAAGAAGGGAAAGGAACUCGGCAAACACAAGCCUCGCCUGUUUACCAAAAACAUCGCCUCCUGCAACACAACCAAGUAUAGGAGGUCCAGCCUGCCCAGUGACUACAAGUUCAACGGCCGCGGUAUUUUGACCGUGCAAAGGUAGCGCAAUCACUUGUCUCUUAAAUGGAGACCUGUAUGAAUGGCUAAACGAGGGCUUAACUGUCUCCCCCCUCCAGUCAGUGAAAUUGAUCUACCCGUGCAGAAGCGGG
rnacentral:rRNA from 1 species